GACGAACGCUGGCGGCGUGCUUAACACAUGCGAGUCGAACGGAAAGGCCCUGCUUUUGUGGGGUGCUCGAGUGGCGAACGGGUGAGUAACACGUGAGUAACCUGCCCUUGACUUUGGGAUAACUUCAGGAAACUGGGGCUAAUACCGGAUAGGAGCUCCUGCUGCAUGGUGGGGGUUGGAAAGUUUCGGCGGUUGGGGAUGGACUCGCGGCUUAUCAGCUUGUUGGUGGGGUAGUGACUUACCAAGGCUUUGACGGGUAGCCGGCCUGAGAGGGUGACCGGCCACAUUGGGACUGAGAUACGGCCCAGACUCCUACGGGAGGCAGCAGUGGGGAAUAUUGCACAAUGGGCGGAAGCCUGAUGCAGCAACGCCGCGUGCGGGAUGACGGCCUUCGGGUUGUAAACCGCUUUCGCCUGUGACGAAGCGUGAGUGACGGUAAUGGGUAAAGAAGCACCGGCUAACUACGUG
rnacentral:rRNA from 1 species